CCACUACUGAAAAACCUUAAAUUCCCUAAAUUUGUUUCCUUCUCUUCAGCCGAACACAAAAACUUCAGUCUAUUGGAAAAUUCAAUCGACGAUUGUCUCUGUUUUUCAGUGGACGAUAGUCUCCGUUGCUCUUUCCAGUCAACUACACAGUCUCCGUUUUUGACAUUCUCUCUCGAUGUUAGGUGGGAGUACGUCCUGCGGCAAAAAAUUUUCACAUAAACCAACAGGCAAAAAACAAAGGAAAGGAAAACAGGUAUUGAUGUAGAUUGAAAAUGGAUAGGAAGAAUAAUGUACAAGAUUCGCCGAGACUUCAAACCGCUAGAGAGGAGAGGAGUUGAGACGCUGAUCCGAAGUUAAAGACGAAGAGGAGUAAGGUCCGUAUGGUACAUUAUUGGAAAUUGGUAAUAUUGCAGAUGCUAUAUUCUUUUACAUAUGAAACACGUUUCAUAUUGCCUUAAAAUCAUUGAAACGACCCCAAAACAUUUUGUAUCGGUUUUCGAAACGCCAUGGUACAUUUUUGUUGCUUCCUA